rnacentral:sRNA from 1 species
UACCUGUUUUCCCUAUUUCUCACAUUCGCCGGCACGGGCGGCCGGGUGCCCAAUAUAUCCUUGGAUAGACUCCAUUGGAUAGAUUAAAAAGGGUCGCCGCUCGGGGCGGAUGGAGGCUUAAC